UUUGGGUCCAACCUCCCACCCGUGUUUAUUUUACCUUGUUGCUUCGGCGGGCCCGCCUUUACUGGCCGCCGGGGGGCUCACGCCCCCGGGUCCGCGCCCGCCGAAGACACCCUCGAACUCUGUCUGAAGAUUGAAGUCUGAGUGAAAAUAUAAAUUAUUUAAAACUUUCAACAACGGAUCUCUUGGUUCCGGCAUCGAUGAAGAACGCAGCGAAAUGCGAUACGUAAUGUGAAUUGCAAAUUCAGUGAAUCAUCGAGUCUUUGAACGCACAUUGCGCCCCCUGGUAUUCCGGGGGGCAUGCCUGUCCGAGCGUCAUUGCUGCCCUCAAGCCCGGCUUGUGUGUUGGGCCCCGUCCUCCGAUUCCGGGGGACGGGCCCGAAAGGCAGCGGCGGCACCGCGUCCGGUCCUCGAGCGUAUGGGGCUUUGUCACCCGCUCCGUAGGCCCGGCCGGCGCUUGCCGAUCAACCCAAAUUUUUAUCCAGGUUGACCUCGGAUCAGGUAGGGAUACCCGCUGAACUUAAGCAUAUCAAUAAGCGAAGGAA
rnacentral:rRNA from 1 species